AUUGAACGCUGGCGGCAGGCCUAACACAUGCAAGUCGAGCGGAUGAAGGGAGCUUGCUCCUGGAUUCAGCGGCGGACGGGUGAGUAAUGCCUAGGAAUCUGCCUGGUAGUGGGGGAUAACGUCCGGAAACGGGCGCUAAUACCGCAUACGUCCUGAGGGAGAAAGUGGGGGAUCUUCGGACCUCACUCUAUCAGAUGAGCCUAGGUCGGAUUAGCUAGUUGGUGGGGUAAAGGCCUACCAAGGCGACGAUCCGUAACUGGUCUGAGAGGAUGAUCAGUCACACUGGAACUGAGACACGGUCCAGACUCCUACGGGAGGCAGCAGUGGGGAAUAUUGGACAAUGGGCGAAAGCCUGAUACAGCCAUGCCGCGUGUGUGAAGAAGGUCUUCGGAUUGUAAAGCACUUUAAGUUGGGAGGAAGGGCAGUAAGUUAAUACCUUGCUGUUUUGACGUUACCAACAGAAUAAGCACCGGCUAACUCCGUG
rnacentral:rRNA from 1 species